CCUACGGGAGGCAGCAGUAGGGAAUAUUGCUCAAUGGGGGAAACCCUGAAGCAGCAACGCCGCGUGGAGGAUGAAGGUUUUCGGAUUGUAAACUCCUUUUGUUAGAGAAGAUGAUGACGGUAUCUAACGAAUAAGCACCGGCUAACUCCGUGCCAGCAGCCGCGGUAAUACGGAGGGUGCAAGCGUUACUCGGAAUCACUGGGCGUAAAGAGCGCGUAGGCGGGAUAGCAAGUCAGAUGUGAAAUCCUAUGGCUUAACCAUAGAACUGCAUUUGAAACUGUUAUUCUAGAGUAUGGGAGAGGUAGGUGGAAUUCUUGGUGUAGGGGUAAAAUGCGUAGAGAUCAAGAGGAACACUCAUUGCGAAGGCGACCUGCUAGAACAUAACUGACGCUGAGGCGCGAAAGCGUGGGGAGCAAACAGGAUUAGAUACCCCUGUAGUC
rnacentral:rRNA from 1 species